AGAGUGGUUGGAAAGCUGGCCGAUAAAAAAGGACCUGAGGGUGCUGGCUGACACCUGGCUGAACAUGAGCCAGCAGUGUACCCAUGUGGCCAAGAAGGCCAAUGGCAUCUUGGCCUGCAUCAGAAAUAGUGUGGCCAGCAGGUAGGUCUAAGGGAGUGAUUGUUUCUUUGUACCCAACACUGGUGAGAGUGCACC